rnacentral:misc_RNA from 1 species
UUUUUACUUUUGAUAUGAACUAUAAUAUAUGUAUAUACUAUUGUAUAUGUACUAGUGCACGCAAAAGACGCUUUUAUUGGAGUACAUACUUUGUGUUGUGCAUUGUGUAGUGUGGUAGAAAUAAAAAGAAGUAUAAGGAAAACGAAAUAUACGGAUCAAGUAAGAGAAACAUUUAAUUGCAUAAUGUACUGUUCUUGAUGUGUAAACUCUGGUUAUGGCUUUUUAAAAGAUCUCUUAUUGUUCUUUUAAUAUACUAUUCUUCCAUGCUCUGUACGUAUAUUAAAACGCUGAGGCAAAGUUACGUAUAAUUAUUUCUACGUAAUGAAUGAAAAUAUACAAAAUAAUAGGCUGAUUUCUUAGUAUAUAUCCUAAAAGAACACUAAUGAGAGUUUUCAAAGCACAAACCAGGAUAAAGAUUUGUAAACAUUUUUCUUCGAUAUUUAAGACCAGAUGAAAGAUUCAAGUGAAGAGUUAUUGCAGUUAUUAUCUGCGCAAAAAAUUUCAUCUCAUGAAACGAAAGAAAUUUAUACAAAUCAAGCAGCAUGUGAUGAUACUGGUUCAGAUAAUGGCAAUGCUUCCAAAACAGAAUUUAAGACUUCUGUAUCUCCAUUAUUUAGUCAUUAUAGAUACGGCUGUUCUUUUCUUCAUCAUGAUAAUUCUAUUAAUUUACCAAGUUUACCCACAUAUUUACCACCAAUUGGGGUAUUUUGGGACAUUGAAAAUUGUCAUGUUCCAAAAGGAAGAUCUGCUAUGGCUGUUACACAAGUGAUUAGAGAUAAAUUUUUUAGCGGUUAUCGAGAAGCAGAAUUUAUUGUUGUUUGUGAUGUUCAAAAAGAAAAUAAUCAUGUAAUGCAAGAAUUAAAUGAUGCACAGGUUAAUUUAAUACAUGUUGCCGCAACAUGUAAAAAUGCUGCUGAUGAAAAACUUAAACAGUCUAUCAGAAGAUUUGCUGAUAUUCAUGGUAGUCCAGCAGCAAUUAUUUUAAUAUCUGGAGAUAUUGACUUUGCUGCUGAUCUUAGUGAUUUAAGAUAUAGAAAAAAAAUUCAUGUGAUACUUCUUCAUAACAAAAGUACUUCAGAAGCAUUAAUAUUAUGUGCGAAUGAACAUUAUGAUUUUAUGGAUCUUAUGGAACCUCUGCCAUCUAGACCUUUAUUAAAGAUUAAUGAAUAUUAUGACCUAAUAAUAACUAAUCUUCCUGAAGAUAAGGAUGUUGUAGUUAUUAAACGACGUCUUCAAAAAAUGUCUGAUAAUUGCGGUGGUCGAGUAGUCAGAAUCAAAUUUAAAACUGCCAUUGUACGUUUUGCUUCAAAAACUUCUGCAAAAAGGGCUCAGAAACGUAUGGAUGGAGAAUAUGUUUUUGAUUCAAAGAUUUCGGUAAGAUUUUACAAGGAAACGGGAAACAGUAACAAUAAAAGUCAAGGAAAUUCCAUAACUCGAAAUCGUGCUCUAAGUGAAUCAGAAAUUAUAGCAAACUCUUUUAAGCAAAUGUAUAGUGCAAGUGCUUCAAUAGCGGGUGCACGAACCCUUCAAGUUCCACAUUAUCAAUCAUCAUCGCCUGUGGUAGGACCAUAUACUACUUGGACAGGAGUACCUUGUGCUUCGGGAAUGAUUCAACCACCACCAAUUUUUGUGGCUAGACCAUAUUCAGCGAGUAGUGAUGUAACAUUUAACAGGAGUUAUAAUGAAUUAACUAGAGUUCAAUCUCCAUUGAUUUGGCAAGUUGCUGGCUCCCAGCAUUUCAGUAAUUUAUGGGAAGACCAAUAUAAGCCGGAGAAAACAAAACUGUCAAGCAAACGAAUUCAUGCCCCUCAAGCAAGGGACAGUAGUGCGUCUAAUAGUACAAUAUCAAGAACACCAGAAUGUCUUAGACCUAUCAAAGGUGGUCACAGUUCAUUUAUUCAUGCUUCAGAAUGGGCAGUACAUUCUCAAACAAAUACUUUUAAACGUCGCAGUCCAUCUCCUAUGUAUGAAACUCAAAAACAUGAGCGAAAUAAUCAGUGGAAUGGACAAAAUCAACAUUCUGUAUUUAUACGUAAUACCAGAACACCUUCGCCAUAUGAAGGUACUAUGGUUCGAGUUAUAAACCAGCAAAAUAAUCAUUUCUCUCCGUACCAACAAAAUGAUUCAGAAAAUGAAGAAGUAGAAAAAUUUUUUCAUCCAAUUAAUCGUAAUGGAAAUGGUUCUACUAAUGGAAGUUAUACACCCAUUGAAUUACAAGUAAGCAAUUUAGAUCAGAACAUUGAUCCAAAGGAAAUGAAGCAUAUUCUUUCAACUAUUUUCAUGGAGCACGUAACAGUUUUGCACAUAUCUAUUUUUAUGCAAUCUGAUGGUAAUUAUGCAGCUAGUGUCAAAGUAGCUUCUUUGCCAGAUGCACAAUAUGCAAUUUCUCAAUUACAUCGUCGUAAAAUUGGAUAUAAACGUAUACUAAUAUCGUAUGCUCAUACUGGAGGUACAAAUCCACAACUUAUACGUGCACAGAUUGUAAUGCUUUUGCAAGAAGUACCAGGUCACAAAUUGCCACUUUUUAAAUUUAGAGAAAUGUAUGAAAGUCGUUUUAUGAUAUCUAUUAGUAUUUCUGAAUUGUAUAAAAUGAAGGAUGUAUGUAUUGUCACUGAAGAUAUUAAUGGGAGAAUGGUAUCUCUUAAUCCAGAUCAUAGAAAUACACCAUCUCCAUGUUUUAGUACUCCAACUCAGGAAGGAUAUGUAGAAUUACCGUAUUGUACUAGACAUACAUCAAAACCAUGGACUGAUAAAGGUUGGGCUGAGCAAGAAAUGGCAUCUCUGCCAAAUGUUAAUAUUUCUCUAAAAUUACUUGCCCCGCGUAUACAGCAAUUAUUAACUAUGCACAAUGGAAGUUUGCCACUACCAAGUUUGCCAAAUUGCUAUGCAGCUGAAUUUCAAGAACAUUUGAAAGUGAUAGAAAAUGGUGUACCAUUAGAACAUUUAGUAUCGUGUCUAUCUUUUGUUCAAUUAAAGCAAGGUAUUGGAAGUGUCAAAUACCUUAGUUGGGCUGUAGAUAAAGAUCACGAUGAUAGCCAUGAAGAAAAUAAGUGUGUUAGCCCUCCAUUAGCAAAUCAAUUGGCUUUGUUUAGCCGUGAAUUAGUAGACCUUUUGAAAACUGCUCCGCACUGCCAACUACCAUUUAAUCGAUUCAUUCCUGCUUAUCAUCACCAUUUUGGGAGACAAUGUAGAGUGGCUGAUUAUGGAUUCACCAAAUUAAUCGAUUUAUUAGAAGCACUUACACAUACUGUUCAAGUAAUGGGAGAAGGAAAUAAACGAGUAGUAACACUUUCUCAUCGUGCUCAAGUACGUCGUUUUACAUCAGAUCUAUUACGAGUAUUAAAAUCAAAAGCUAGUAAACAAGUAACACUUUCAGAAUUUCCAAAUGUUUAUAGUAGAGUGAUAGCCAAACCAUGGGAUAUUGUUGAUUAUGGUGUAUGUGAAAUAGAAGAUAUUCUUGGCGAAGUAUCAGAAAAUACAGUAGUUAUGACUGCAAUUAAUGGAGGCGAUAAAAUGAUAGCUAUCCCUAAACGUGAACAAACUCCAGAGGAAAUAGAGCGUACAAAACAAUUUGCAUUUGAGGUUGUAGAAUUAUUGAGACAUGUUCCUCAAUGUAAGAUGUUGUUUAAUAAAUUUGUGCCAUCUUAUCAUCAUCACUUUGGUCAUCAGUGUCGUGUAUCAGAUUAUGGAUUUACUAAAUUGAUAGAAUUGUUUGAAGCUAUACCAGACGUAGUGAAAAUUGAAGAUGGAAGCAAUGGUGAAAGACAAAUUAGUUUAACAGAAAAAGAGGGCUUGCGUGUUUUAAGUGAACAGAUAUCAAAGCUAGUAACUCAUUCAAAAAGUGGUCUUAGCGUUUCCCAUAUUGUUCAGAACUUUUUACGACAAUUUGGCUAUGCAUUACGUCCUGAAUUAUUUGGCUGUAAUUCUGUAUUACAACUCAUGCAAAAACUUGAUGAUAGUGUUAAGAUUAUAGAUUUAGCUACGGGACCAGUGGUUGUUGCAAUCGAUAAAUCUCACUUACAGCAGUUAGCUUUGCAAUGUCGUAGAGUAUUAAUGGAUCAACCCCAAUAUAAAAUGCCUAUACAAGAAUUUCAAAAGCAAUAUUCUCAAUAUUAUUCAAAAACUUGCAAUAUUGAAGAACUUAAAAAAGAUUUAUCUCAUGUUGUUCAGUUUAAAACAAUCAAUGAAGAAAAUUUUAUAGAACUAACUUCAUUAUAUUGCUUUGCAUGCAAUUUGUAUCGUGUUAUGAUGAGUUGUGAAGGUCAAUUAAAUCUUUCACGUUUUGAAGCUGCAUAUUUAGCAGUUAAUGGUUCUGCAUGUAGAGCUGCUCAAUAUGGUUUUCCAACAUUGACAGCUCUCUUGCAAGCAUUACCUUGUACCGUAAUAUUAAAGGAUACACGGAAAGAUAAACGAAAAAAGAAAGUAAUAUACCUUAAUAAAAAAUUAGCUGCUGUUGGUAUUGCAUUACCUUCCACGUAUGCAUCAGGUUCAUCAUAUCAUGAUACAGAUUCUAGCAAUGAGUCAUUUGAAAGCGAUUCUUCAUCGCGUAUAAAUGCCUCUAGUAAUGCUUCCACAUUAGAAGAAUAUGGAAAAUGGAUAACUCACGCAAUUAAUGGUCAUGGUUCUUGGAAACAAAAUGAAGACAAUCAUUUUUGGACACAAGAUUGUGAAAAACAUUGGAAAGUCUUAACGCAUUUAGAAGAACGAGCUAAUAAUUGGCCAUUAUUUGAAAAUAACAAUGAAGGUCUUAAAAAUUUUAUACAUACACCAACAAUCAUGCAGAACGAUUUUCCACCUCCUCCACCUAAGCCUGAUUCGCCACCUGAGGUGGAUAUAAGAACGAAUAAUCAAUGGAAGUCAUCAGUAUGGAUAGCACCGACAAAAAUUUUAUAUUCGCAAGAUGAACGAGUUACAAAUGUAAAUGUACCUCCAUUAACUUUACCUGCUUGGAAUCAAAUGUCUGAGGAUGAUAUAUUAAAUUUGUUAUCACCAACUAAAAACUUAUUACCAGCCGCUGCAAAUCCCCUAAAUCCGCGUACUUCGCCUUAUUAUUCAACCAAGCAUAAUCUAGUUGUAGCACCACAUCCAUCCGAAUUACCGCUACCGUCAUUGUCGCUAACACCGAAAAAAAACGCAUCUUCUGAAAGCAUUACAGUUACACGAGAUAGCAUAGAAAAACAAGAUGUUAAUUCUGACAAUGUUGGUGAUGUUUGUAAUACAGAAAAUUUCGAAAAAGAAAAUAAUCUUGGUAAUAGAAAGAAAAAUGAACUUCUCAAUACUCCUACUAAACCAUUAUUUACAGGAAAACGACGUUUGGCAGCUCAAUUCAAUCAACCUCUUCAAUCUUAAACAUAAAUUGAGACCUAUAACUCAAUCGAAUUCAGGCAAUCGUUUUAAUUUAAAGAUAUUGUUCAUUUGUGAUGCGCUUGCAUCCAAUGCAAGAUAUUCUUGUUCACAAACAAUAUACACGUUUAAGAUUUUAUCUCGCCGGUAGAUCGCUGCACAAUCAUUUGAGUACUUACACAUAAAACUAUCUUUUAGUCGAAUAAAAACAAAAACAGAAGUUAUUUUCAAAAUAUAUGAGCAUGUACAAUAUGUAACUACAGUUUCUAAAUUGAAAAUCUAAAAUGAGUGAGCAGCGUUUAUAUCGAAUGACACGUAUUUAUGGUAUUGCAUACAAAAGUCGUAGCAUUUUCCACACACUGUGAUAUAGAAUAAGAAGAAUGUGAAAAUAAUUGUACUAGCAAUAAAGGAAAUGUGCCUUCGCAAUGGCACUCUCUCGCAAGGUA